rnacentral:tRNA from 1 species
GUUUAUAUAGUUUAAUUAAAAACCUUACAUUUUCAUUGUAAUAAUAAAAUAUUAUAUUUUUAUAAAUA